AGCUGUGCGCAGUGGCAGUAUCACAGCCAAUGAGGUUUAUCCGAGGCGCGAUUAUUGCUAAUUGAAAACUUUUCCGCUUACUUCAAGAGAUCAUAGGUAAGUGCUUGAUGCUCCCGGGAG
rnacentral:snRNA from 1 species